AGAAAUGCAGAGUCCAAGAAUUUUAUCAUAUGAGCUUUAUUCACAAUUUUAUCACAGGCAUUAUAAGAAAGUCCAAGAAUAAUGUCUUUGGGCUUCAAAUUGACGCUUCCAUUAUUCCCAUUAAGCCCAAUUCCAUCGCUGCUAUCAGCUUCCAAAGUAUUGUGAUGUCUGUUACUCAUAAUAGCUCCAGAGUUGUCACUGCUAGCAACUGAAAUCUUAUCAUACGUUAGAAUUCAAUACUGUUAACUGUCAUUGGUCUUUGUCAGAUGAUUGAUGGAAGAAAAACAUGCCAUCAUUAAAAGGCCAUGGUGUGGAUCCAAAGAGGGUAAGUUUCGCAUCGGCAUACCUUUGAGUAUGAAGGUUUCCUUUGAGAUGAUUGAGCAGCGUGGUUUCACCGUAACAGGGGGAGAGACACAACGUGCAAAAGAAGGAAAUCUUAGAAAACCCUAAUUGUGCCAAUCUGCCCUCAAUUAUGCAAAUAACAAGAAUACUUGAAACCCUUCAAAACCCACAGAAGCUCACAACGAACCCUAGAAACCGCCAUAUCAUUCAAAACAAAAACACCACAGAAAACCCAUAUUCUAUGAAUCUGCCCUAAGAAUACACAAAUUACAACAGAAAGAACCCCGGAAUCUGUUACAAAUCGAGAAAUUAAAAA